rnacentral:tRNA from 1 species
UCAAAAUGUAGCUUAAUAGUAAAGUAUCUCCCUUACACUGAGAUGAAGUCUGCGCAAUUCAGACCAUUUUGA